UACGAAGGGGGCUAGCGUUGCUCGGGAUCACUGGGCGUAAAGCGCACGUAGGCGGACUCUUAAGUCGGUGGUGAAAUCCUGGAGCUCAACUCCAGAACUGCCUUCGAUACUGAGAGUCUCGAGUCCGGGAGAGGUGAGUGGAACUGCGAGUGUAGAGGUGAAAUUCGUAGAUAUUCGCAAGAACACCAGUGGCGAAGGCGGCUCACUGGCCCGGUACUGACGCUGAGGUGCGAAAGCGUGGGGAGCAAACAGG
rnacentral:rRNA from 1 species